rnacentral:tRNA from 1 species
GGGGAUAUAGUUCAGUUGUUAGAAUGCUUGCCUCACUGGGGAUUGUGCAAGGCCCUGGGUUCAAUCCCCAGCAUUAUGA